rnacentral:misc_RNA from 1 species
AAUUAUAUGGAAUUCAAUUGAAUUUUGCAUAUUAAGUUGUAUCAUUCAAUCCACUAGAAUUCAAUCUAAAUGAAUUCCAUCCCUAUUUCAUUUCAAUAAAACGGGGUGGAAAUGUAGUUACCAAAUUUAACUGCUAAACCGAGACAUAAAGCUUCAACAAAGACAAAAACGACAAUUAUGAAGUAUUUUUUGGAUAUAGAUGAUUAAAGAGGUCGCCUUAUGAACAAACAAAACAAUAUUUUUAUGCUUUGGAUGGACUAAAAACCUUCAUAGUAAUAGAAGAGAACCAAAUCAUAAUUCAACCAAUAAACGCUAACAUUGCUUCAAAAUUCGAAAGCAGUUAAAAGCCAACAAUUAUGUUUAAGGAAUAACAGAAUAAGAGCGAA